UGGGGAAUAUUGGACAAUGGGGGCAACCCUGAUCCAGCAAUGCCGCGUGUGUGAAGAAGGCCUUCGGGUUGUAAAGCACUUUUAUCCGGAACGAAACGCGCAGGGCGAAUAGCUUUGCGAACUGACGGUACCGGAGGAAUAAGCACCGGCUAACUUCGUGCCAGCAGCCGCGGUAAUACGAAGGGUGCAAGCGUUACUCGGAAUUACUGGGCGUAAAGCGUGCGUAGGUGGUUUGUUAAGUCUGUUGUGAAAGCCCCGGGCUCAACCUGGGGAUGGCAAUGGAUACUGGCAAGCUAGAGUGCGGUAGAGGGUAGUGGAAUUCCCGGUGUAGCGGUGAAAUGCGUAGAGAUCGGGAGGAACACCAGUGGCGAAGGCGGCUACCUGGACCAGCACUGACACUGAGGCACGAAAGCGUGGGGAGCAAACAGGAUUAGAUACCCUGGUAGUCCACGCCCUAAACGAUGCGAACUGGACGUUGGGAGCAACUUGGCUCUCAGUGUCGAAGCUAACGCGUUAAGUUCGCCGCCUGGGGAGUACGGUCGCAAGACUG
rnacentral:rRNA from 1 species